rnacentral:tRNA from 1 species
GAUCUACUAGCUCAGUUGGUAGAGCACCUGACUUUUAAUCAGGGUGUCCCGCGUUCGAGUCGCGGGUGGAUCACCA